rnacentral:rRNA from 1 species
AUUGAACGCUGGCGGCGUGCCUAAUACAUGCAAGUCGAGCGGACCUCUUCGGAGGUCAGCGGCGGACGGGUGAGUAACACGUGGGCAACCUGCCUGUAAGACUGGGAUAACUCCGGGAAACCGGAGCUAAUACCGGAUACUAUGUCAAACCGCAUGGUUUGACAUUCAAAGACGGUUUCGGCUGUCACUUACAGAUGGGCCCGCGGCGCAUUAGCUAGUUGGUGAGGUAACGGCUCACCAAGGCGACGAUGCGUAGCCGACCUGAGAGGGUGAUCGGCCACACUGGGACUGAGACACGGCCCAGACUCCUACGGGAGGCAGCAGUAGGGAAUCUUCCGCAAUGGACGAAAGUCUGACGGAGCAACGCCGCGUGAGUGAUGAAGGUUUUCGGAUCGUAAAACUCUGUUGUCAGGGAAGAACAAGUGCCGGAGUAACUGCCGGCGCCUUGACGGUACCUGACCAGAAAGCCACGGCUAACUACGUGCCAGCAGCCGCCGCAG